rnacentral:lncRNA from 1 species
UUCAAACACCUUCAAGGCUAUCAAGAUCUAGCCUGCAGCUCUGAUACCACUUGUUGUGCGCAGCGGAAACUUAUGCACCAAUCACUACGAGAAAAUCUGAUUUAGGCCACGGACCAACGAUUUCCUUUGCCACGGUCCGGGUUAGUGGCAAAAUUAGCCACGGUUCGGGUCCGUGGUACGCCUGGUUUUAUCCGUGGCAAAAGUCUGGCCCAAUUUUUAAGAUUUUUGAGAAUUUAGGUACAGUUUCCAACCGUGGGCAAAAAUGUGAUUAGAACCAUAGGAUUAUUAUUUCAUAUCACAAGAAUGAUCUACCACUAAUAAUAAGAAAUUUCCAUUAAAACCCAAACCAUUCUCGUUCCCACCCUUCUUUCCUGCUGAAGAACCCUAAUUUUCUCUUUUGCAGUCUUCUCUUCUUCAAAAAUUUCAGAUUCGCCUCGCCCAUUCAUCUUCUUCCUAAAGCAAAAUAAUUGAGAUCCAUCUCGACAUUCACCACAACGAAGCUAAAGUAUUUCUCCACAUUCAAGUUCUAAUUUGAGACAUAUAUCCUCAUUCACCAACCAGUUAAUCAUUUUUGCAAUCUCUCUCUACGGAUGAAGUUCUAAUUUUGGUUUUCAAAAGCUCUUUGCUAGGGUUUUGCUUUAUUGAGCGACUCUUCGACGAUUCAGUUUUAAUUGGUUCAGUUCAAGAUAUCUAAGAAAGGUUAUUUAUUUUUUUAUGAUUUCAGAGAAUUUAGUUGAUUCUUUGUAAUUUCAUUAAAAGAGGUCUUUGUUGGUUUGGAUUCUCUGCAAUUUCCUUAAAAAGGUAUAACAUUAAUAACAAUCAUGGAUGCACCAAACAAGAUGCCAGAUUUGAUAAGUGAUGAGGUUCAAUUCUUCUCCUGUUUUGUGUAGUAUACCUCUAAUAAAUAUAUUUUUCUUUUAGCCUUUCAGCACAGUUAAGUAAAAAAUGCAAAAAUUUGCCCAAGUCAUACGUAUUUACUGUACACUUUGAGCUUGUCGUGAGUUUUGUCUUCUGUUUUAGAUUUUAUCUCCACACAGCCAGAAAGAAGUCAGACCAAUUGUUGUGUACAAAAAAUGAACAUACAUGUGUGGCCUAUGUUAUGUAUGUGUGUGUACCGAUUCAUCAAUUGAUUUUUUUUUUAUAUGGCAACAUCAUUGAAAACUGUGUUGAAACCUUUUUUCUGUUCUGAAAAAAAAUUGGAAUUCCUCAUCGAAGGCAGUUAGGCAAGUAGACUUUCUAAAACUGACUGUGUUCGGCUGUAUGUUUGUGGUAAACAAGUACCUAAAUUAAUGAUGUGACAGUCUACCCGUUAACAUGCUCUUGAAUAACUAGGCUGGAUAUUCGUGUUGCAGCUGAACACAGCCUAAGUGCCUAACUAAUCUAUGUAAAAUUGAUUGGAAGCUGAACAUGAUAUGACAUCUAAGUGUCUUUUUUGUUUCGGUGAAAAUUUUCCUAUUAACUUGAAGAAUCUUAUGUCCAGUCUUUUGUGAAUAUAGGAGGCUCUGAAGUGGGUGACAGAGCAGCCUGCUUAGAAGCGGUCUAAAGGAAGAGAUCUCACAUACUGCCAGUUCAACAUCCUUGGUCUUUCAAGUCUACUCGCAGAUGUAUGAAGAAGACUAUUUGGCUUUACCAGAUAUGGAAUCUCCAGGGAACUGGUAAGAAUCUUUUUCAACUUUGUUCCGUCCAACUAAACUAUAGAAAUACCUUUACAUAUGUGUGUCUUUGAGAAUUAAUUCUUGAGAGCAGGUACAAGCCUGGAGAAAGUUUUAUUCUUCCAUAUGUUCCAAAUGUUAAAGUUUGCGAUGCCAAUUAUUUGUCCUAAAGUAAAUCUAGGAGAGACACUCUGCUCUUCUUUCAUGGGAGUUAAAAGAAAAGCCAUGAGAACUUGCCCCAGAAAAACACUCAAAUUUGUUAUUAUUAUUUUUUAUUUUAUCACAAGGUUUUGAAAACAAAAAUAAUAAAUCUAGGAGAGAGCCAUUUUGCCUUUGGCCAUGUAUUUUUUAGUAUGGUAUGGCCCCGGAUACCGACAUCCAUCCCAUCAUCCCUACUAAAACUACAUGUUGCUGGACGGAAAAAGGACCAAAACCUAAUUAACAUUAUAUACUUCCUUUUUUUUUAUUUGGCUACUAACACUAAGGUGUUGUAAUGCUAGGGAGGAAAGAUACGCUCUAAACUUGUGACAGAAAUUAAAUUAAUGGUUCUGAGGGUGCUGUGAAAGAGGAGGGAACAAGUGGAGAGGCUGGAAAGGAAGCAGCUAAAAAUGGCAUGCGUAGGUAUGUUUUUCAGGAAAAAUAAAAUAAAAUUCUGAAAAUUUUAUAUGGAGUUUAAUUCAAUUUUUUUUUUAAUUAUUUUUUUUUGUUUGUAGGUCUAUCUUUUGCUUAAACCCAGCUGGUGAUACUCCUUCAUCUGCUACACUGUUUGAUGCUAUUGUUAGUGUUUGUACUCUGUAUUCUGGUUAUUGUUAGCGAUGAACUUGAGCUUCCCUUUGAAGGAAUACUUGAUUUUCGGAAGGUCAAAGCUUCUGCAGGUAUGUUUGAAAGAACCAGAGCUUCUUCAGAGGAUUUGAAAGGAGUGUGAGGCGUGGGAUAGGCCUGCAUCAGGUACAAGAAGCUCAAGAGUAGUCAGUAAGGAGAACUCAAAUUGAAAUCCCAGCACCACCAGCUCUAACCAGGCUUCGUCAUGCAAGUAAAGGAGGAACUGCUGCUGUAGAUAAUUCAGAAACAAGGACAGGAAAAGAGAAAUAACAAUUCGACUGUGUCAAACAAGUGUGAUGAACUUCUUAAAGAUACACCUUAUCACAACUUUGAGCUAAAGUGAUUACUUUCACAUUAUAUUUGUUCUUUAAUUCUGAAUUUCAUGUAUUUUCAGAUUCAUGGAGUGGGGUUUGGAUAAAGGCUGGGGUGAUAAGAUGUUUAGUUGUUUGGUUGUUGUAAUGUAUGGUAUCACAACAGUUGUGGUGUGUGAAUGCUAUUAAUGAAUAAUAAUUUUAUAUUAUGCAUUGUCCUGGUGCAAAAAAUAUGAAGGGCGGUAGCUAAUUUCAGAUUAUGUAGGACAGGUGCAAAAAAUGUGAAAAUAUGGUAUUUUUUUUUCCUGAAAAUAUUCAGUUUUCCCACGGCCAGGAACAAUACCUAAUUUAAGAAAAAAAAUGAAAAAAAUCCAGAUUAGCCACGGCUAGAGCAGUAGCUAAUUUGAAAAUUAAAUUAAUCUCGAUAAUUUUUUUUUAAAAAAUAUAACGUUUGCCACGGACUCCAACCGUGGGGAGGAUGACAAUUUACCACGGUUAAUAGCCGUGGCUAUUCCCACGGUACUCAACCGUGGCUAAUAACAACUGUUCGCCACGGACCCGAUCCGUGGCAAACAAAUUAGCUACCCCCUGAACACCCACGGUCUUGCCACGGUCCAUAACAGUUGCAAAUCCAGUUUUGCCACCGUUCCGGUCCGUGGCAAAUCUGAUAUAUUCUUGUAGUGAAUACCCAAGAUUGAAAUAAUGUAUGAACCAAACAAAGCAAAACAAAACAAACAAAAAAACACAAGAUUUACGUGGUUCGGCGAUUGCCUACGUCCACCAACCAAAGAGGAGAGCUUCUUAUUAACAAAUCAACAAAGAUACAAAGUAUCUAACCAAUGGAGAAAAUCUCCCAACAAAUCUCUCACUCACCAAACAAAUCCUCACAACUCUCACAAGGAGACAAACAACAAAUAUGGAUUGAGGAUACUAAACCAAUCUCUAAGACCUUAUAUUUAUAGCCUUUAGGGGGUACAAAACAAAUUCCUAAUAGGAAUACCAAACUUAAUCAAAUUGGAAGUCAUAUUCCAAUACCAAAUUCUAAAUCCUUAAUAUGGACUUAGAAAUCCAAAUAUGAAACGGAUUCCCUUAUAGAACCGGUUUCCCAACAGCUUUUGAUAUAAUCAAUUGGGAAUGUCUGAAUCUCAUCUUAUCCUACAUAGGUAUAGACCCUGCUUUCUGUAGUUUGAUCAACAAAUGUGUUACGUCUCUCCAUUCUUCUGUUCUCAUUAAUGGAUGUCCCUAUGGGUAUUUUAGACCUACUUGUGGCCUUAGACAAGGAGAUCCCCUCUCCCCUUGUCUUUUCAUUCUGUGUAUGGGAGUGUUAUCCAGGAUUCUGCAACAAAAAACAGAUAGCUCUAACUCAAUUUUGCUCCCUCACAGGCCAACAAAUAAAUUUUCAAAAGUCUGGUGUGCUAUUCAACAAGAAUACUGAUCCAAUCACUCAAACUGAUAUUCUCACUUCCUUAGGUAUGUCCAGACUCUCGAAAGAGGAUUUAUACUAGGGCACGCCCAUUUUCCUUGGAGGUGCUAAAUCUAAACGUUUCCAUAGCUAGUAACUAGAGUUGAAGACAAAAUUACUGGAUGGAAAAGUAAAGUACUGUCUCAAGCAGGAAGGACAGUUCUUAUCAAUUCCAUAUCCUCCGCCAUUCAUGCUUAUCAAAUGGCUUGCUUCAAGCUACCCCUUAGUAUUACUACUAAACUCAAUGUUCUCCAAAGAGAUUUUUAGUGGGGAAAGGCGAUCAUAAGCAAAGACCUCUUUAUCUCAAGAGUUGGAACUACAUAUGUAGACGUAAGAGGCUUGGGGGAUUAGGAAUAAAGCGAAUGGAAUACCAAAAUAAGGCUCUUUCUACUCUCCUAGCUUGGAGGCUUCUCAACCACCCAGAUAAUCUAUGUGCUACUAUUCUCAAUGCUAAAUACUUCAAAAAUUCUCCAACCACCAUGGCCACUAGCAAACAAAAUUCCUCUUGGGUCUGGAAGACACUCUCAAAUUCCAUCUCUCUAAUAGAACAAAUUUAAAACAUUUGUUGGGAGCCAUUCCUUAAUUCUAAACUAAAUUUUUUAGUCUGAUAGAUGGGUCCCCUCCCUGCCCAUAUACAAAAUUCCAACUCUACCCUACCAUCAUCAUGACAUUACCCAAGUAGGGGAGCUUAUCAACCAAGAAACAAAUUCAUGGAAUGAUAACCUGUUACAAGUCCUCUUCCCACCACACAUAGUCCAUCAAAUAAGGAAAAUUCACCUACAUGGAUGCUUCUGAAAAAUGGGAAAUUUUCUGUUAAGUCCAUGUACAAAGCCAUUAACAACUCUACUCAAAUUUCAUAGUGGAUACCAAACUCAAUCUGAAAAUUUGGAAGUCUAAAGCUUCUCCCCGUGCCACUCUCUUCACUAAAAAUGUCUUCACAAUAUUAUCCCGACUAGGGAUAAUCUAUCUCGAAUCCUCCCCAUUCCUAGUAAUGCUUGCCCUAUGUAUAAUGAUGCACAAGAGAAAACCAUUUAUCACAUGUUGUUAGACUGUCCUUUCACCAAAGCUACUUGGCUAGCUAGUAAUCUCAAAUUCAGACUCCAAACUGUUCAGAAUUUGUCUACUCAUCCAUGGAUAAAAUGUUGGUUUUACCCCCCCCCCCCAAAUUCCCAUUGAGUGGAACAGACAAUCUCUCAAGAUAAUGUCGACAACAAAUUCACUUCUGCAGAUGUGCUUUAAUGUCGAUUUUAGUCUUAUUUUUGGUUUAUUAUAUUUCACGGGCCUUAACUCUCACUAACUUAAAAGAAUGCCUAAAGUAUCAAAUAAUGGGCUUAAAUUGAUUGAUUAUUAAUCGAGUUAAUAAAAACUCCAAGUCCACCUCCUAAAGGACUUCUACACCAAAGAGAAAGCCCAAAUCCAAAAGAAGGAAGCCUUUGAAGCCAAAAAAGAAGCCACAACUGUAUCCAACUCAGAGGAGAUUUCCACCGAACCAAAGUCCAAUAAGAUAAACUCACCGUGAUCCAGACAGAAGACAGAGUAGACGAGCAAAAACUGAAGAUCAAAAGUCCACAGUCAACUCGCCACCCUGCGAGUUGGCCAGUCCCAAACAGUGUCGGUCCUGUACCGACUUGUCUGUAAUAGGCCCUACACCGAUGUAAAUCUAUCCUAUUGUCGACUUAAUGUAUUUAGAAAUGUCAAUAUGGUCGAACAGUAAUAUAUACUCUACAAAACUAAGGUUUUGAUAGAACUCAAUAGAGAAGAAUAAUAUUCAACCUCUUGUAUCUUGAAACAAUAGUUCUUCUUAUUAAGUUUUUAAGGUUUAAGAGCAAGGUAUAUUUUUUUAUUUGAUGAUGACUUGUUCCAUCAAUGGAAAUUUAAACCCAUAAGGGAUAAGUAGCCUCCAUUGACGAAACCAUGAUAUUUUAAUAUAAUUUUUAUGCUUGUUCUUCAUUGAAUCGUUUUCAUGCAAAAUAAUUAUAACAAUACUUUCAUGUUACUGUAUCGAGAAAGAAGUAAUAUGUUAGUUUAUCCUUUUUAGUGUUUUUGUAUGUCUACUAUGCCUACAUGCUUAAUACUUACAAUACCCGAGAGGUGAGUACAUAAUAGGGUUUCAAUAUAAACUUGGAUUGCUUAGAAGAUGAUAUAUGUACGCUUGCAUGGGUGGAACCAUAUGAUUGAUUACUUAGUGUAUUGUCGCUUUGGGCUUCAUCCACUCCAUUCAUACAUCUCAAGUAAAAUAUAUAUACGCAAUAGCUGAGACGGGAGUGUUUUUCUAUCCAGACAAUAGUUGAAAGGUGAGUCGGGGAGCUACAGUAGCUGAGAGUUGAGUAGCUAAGAACAUGCAUAUUUACUAGAUUUGUAUUAUGGGGGAUUUAUGAGGUGAACAUGUCUCCUAUUUCUUUUGUUGAUCAUACUCUGUUUUAUUAGUCGUAAUUAGAUUAGAAUUAGUUAACUUAGUUAUUAUAAAUUCUCUACAAAAUAGUGUGACAUCUACUUGGUAGUUUUCUUUGUUUUCUUCUUGAUUACAAUGGAUUGAUACAUUUCAUUACCGUUAUACAUCAAAUCCUUGGAAGAAUUAUUGUUAUAGUAGUAUUAAGUCAACGACAAGAUCUCAUUAUUCAUCGAUCACAUCAACAUCAAUAUCCGUAUCUAUAUCAACCAUACUCAAUUCCAUUACAACAAUUAGGUGUCGUUGCCGCUCUUUUCAACAAAGAAGGAGAACGUUACUGGGAACUCAAAAUCCCAUCUACCCACCCUUUCUUUUUAUUUUAUUUAUUUAUUUAGUUUACUAGUAAGUAGACUAAUUUAGUUUUUAUUUUCUGUUGCAGGUAAAAAUACUUCAAAAGUUGAAUUGGACAGACUUGGCGUGUACUAGAGGAAGUACCCGAGCCAACACAGCAAACAGAAGGUGCACAGAUGUUAGUCAACUCGCCACCCGCGACCUCCUGCGGUCCAAACCUUGUCAGUCCAGCACGAUUCUGUCAAGAAUCUCUUCCUAGUUGCCCCGAGACUAUCCUAUCAGACUUCUGAGUUGCAGUACCUCUUCCCUGAACGAAAUACUAGAUUCGUGUACCUACCAUCCAUCAUACUUUACUACAGUUGCAUAAAAAACUUCUAACUUUAACACCGUCUAACAUCCACGCGGGUGCACUGACUUAUAUCACCUUCAUUGUUUGUGCCAACCACCCACGCGAGUGUGUACAAACGAACUCCACUCACUUGACCAUUGAUUCACUAAGUUAGAGGUACGUUUUCUCUCUUCACUCUGUUUUUAUAAUCAUUAUGGACUUAACACCUCCUAAGUUUAUUUUUUCCAGAACUCUUAAUCUCCCAAAUUUUGGAUUCUUUUUCUGCAUUCUAUCAUAUGAAAUUAUAAAUUUUAUAAAAACCUGGAAGCAUGAUUGCAUAGGUGAUAGAUGCUCUCUUGAUUGCGAGAGAAAUGUCACGAACACGUUAUGAAAAGUAUCUUAUUUGUGUGGUGAAAUCUUUUGUGCUUCAACUUAUUAGCUCUCAUCUAUGUAUUAGCUCUUAUUUGUGUGGUGAAAUUUUAUAUUUUAACAUAAGUAUGAGGUUGGUAAUUACUUUGUUCUGUAUUAGCUCUCAUCUAUAGUAAUUCUUUUUGUUCUGUAUUAGCUCUCAUCUAUAAAUAAAUGGCUUACUAUUGUAGAUUGAUUGAUUGUAAUUGCUAUGAAUUUUCUUCAGAAGUCAUUUUAUUUACAAGGGUGUCUUUUUUUUUUCACUAUGCAUAUUAAAUAUUAGGUCAUGCAGUUCCUUAGGUCCAUGUUUAUUAGUGAUCCAUUGUAAUAGAACAACCAUGAGUGCCUGUACGUACCUCCAUUUUCAGUAUUUGAACACUUGACCCUUCCAUUCCCAGUUGAGAUAAGAAAAAUCUCAAUAACAAACCCCAUUUUAAGUUUUGUUAAAAAAUGGAUAACAUGUGAAACUCUGUUAUUUACAAUGUUUUUUGUCUUAUUGUUGGUAAUAAGAUAAUGGAUAAUUGAAGAGGUGUAUCAUAGCAUUCAUAGCAUCAUGAAAACAAGAUUUUGGAGGCAAACUUUCCGUUAUUACCCCACCAUAUUCCCUUAUAUCAUUUUUACUACCAAUUAUAUGAAAGUAGGUUUAAUUGCCUUCCACCUUUCCUCUCUUACAUGUAAGGCAGUAAGGAUUGCAUGGUAAUAGCAAGUAAUGUGGAUUGUCGACCAACAUUAAGUAAUCCGGAUUACAAUUUUUCAGAUACAGUUUUUUCACGAUUAUUUUUUGCCGAUAGGUUACUCAAUAUAUACUAACAGUUACAGUUUUUCCUCCCAUUUGUGUUUUGUUAAUUACAUCCCCUCAGCUAGCUCUCAUUGAAACGAUGUCUGAUUUAAUCAGUAUUUAUGACUUACUAAGUAUAUAUCAACUCAAAAUUUAAGAAGAGUGUCCCAUUUAUUAUCUUUCAAAAAAAAAAAUCCAGAGAACACUAAACAAUAUUAAAGAAGGUCAAGGAAAAAUCCCCAUGUACGAAUAAACUGAGGGGCAAACAAAAACAAAAUAGUAAGUGAACAACAUGUGCAACAUUGCAACUUUCUGAUGUUCUGUUAUAAAAUUUACAAACUUCAAUGAUCCUUUAAAUUAUUUUCUUCUUGCUAUAUUGAAUAGACUAAGCAAAAUAUAGCAGCGAGAUGGAUAUCUAUAUAUUAAAUUUGAACCACAUCUAUAUAUAGCGAGUAGCGAGAUGGUUCAAUAAUAAACGCAUAACCAAUCACAUCUCAUUUGCUAGCAUAAAUCAAAGAUUAAGUGUUGUUGUUACAUUUACAGGUAACCUAUAUUUGUUAUUGGAUAUAGGUACUCAUCAAACUCUUUAAUACAUGUACUCUGAUUUGUUUUCUUCAUCAACUUCUGUCACAUAACCAACACAUCUCAUUUGCUAGCAUAUCAGGUAUUUUACUGUUUGAAUUUUAUAUUUUAACAUAAGUAUCAGGUUGGUCAUUACUUUGUUCUGUAUUAGCUCUCAUCUAUAGUAAUUCUUUUUGUUAUGUAUUAGCUCUCAUCUAUAAAUCAAUUGCUUACUAUUGUAGAUUGAUUGAUUGUAAUUGCUUUGAAUCUUCUUCAGAAGUCAUUUUAUUUACCAGGGUGUCCUUUCUUUUUUUCACUAUCCAUAUUAAAUAUUAGGUAAUGCAGUUCCUUAGGUCCAUAUUUAUUAGUGGUCCAUUGUAAUAGAACAGCCAUGAGUGCCUGUACAUACCUCCAUUUUCAGUAUUUGACACUUGACCCUUCCAUCCCCAGUUGAGGUAAGAAAAACCUAAAUAACAAACCCCAUUUUAAGUUUUGUUAAAAAAUGGAUAACAUGAGAAACUCUGUUAUUUACAAUGUUUUUUGUCUUAUUGUUGGUAAUAAGAUAAAUGAAGGUAGUAAAAAAACAUGAAAAAGUGUAUCAUAGCAUUCAUAGCAUCAUGAAAGCAAACUUUCCGUUUGGAAACAAAUUUCUAUCUACAUCAAAAAGCCCUAAAUGGAAACAAAAUAAUACACUCCCAUCAAACACAACAACUACAAUCCCAUAUAAUUCCACCACCUCACCUUAUAAAAGCAAAACUUCAUUAUCAUUCCUUCAAAUAAACUUCACAUCUUAAUCUUCAGCAUGGUAUCAAACACUAACCACCUCAUUUUCGAUCAUUCUCCAUCAAAUCAAAGAUAUGGUUUUAUAGUUUUAUUUCAAACUUUUAACAGAAAAUAUGGACUGACAAAGGGAGAUUCUUUGAUUGUGUUUCAAUUUUCGAAAAGAGUAAUACAAGGUAAAAUUAGAAAUGGUGAAGAACCAACCUAUUUCGUUCUAAUUCCAAAUAAAGCAAACUUUUUCGUUUAUAUUCCAUUUAUUCCAAGAAUGCCUUCAACAAUGGGUUUGCUGCCAAAAAGGAAGUACGUAUAUUUGUUAUUUGUACACCACUAAUCUAAAUCUACUCUAACUUCAUUUUUUUUUAAAUGUUUGAUACUUAAUAUAUUGUUAUGGUUCUUUGUAGGAAGUUCUAUAUACGGUCCAUAAUUGGUUGUAGAAUUGAUGUUAAUCUAUGUGCCUCAAUGAGAGCCUUGAAGUAUAUACACAAGUAUAUUUACAGAUCCAAUGACAAAAAGACAAGGGUUGCUUCCGAAACGUUUUACAAUCACCAUGAUGGUACUUCCUCAUUCAACCACCUAUUCUAAAAUUGUUGUCACUAUGUCUAAUGAUAUCUUAGCAACAAGGCUAGACUUCAGACUACUAUGAGAAUAAGAAGUUUAUAAUUUUGUUAGGUUUUUGGGUAUUAUUACAAUUUUCAAUUUAUUGUCAAGUUUUAAGUCAAUAAACAAUAAAUUACUCCAAUAUGCAAUCUGGAAUUUUUGGGGUUUUGGUCUUAUAUUUUUGGCACCACAACAAUAUAACUAUUAUAGGUGGCUACAAGAAGUCCACCAGAUUUUGUAAUUCCACAUUCAAAUUUUGAUGUUGCCACAUAAAUGUUUAUUUUGAUAUUGAUAACUAAUGGUUAUCAAUAUUUUUUGCAACUCUUCAAAUUUAAUUCUUUUAAAUUGAUUGUAUUAUUAACAAUUUAACAGUCAACUGUAUAUUUUCAUCUUUAUAAUUGUGUGCGGAGUUCAAAAUUAAUACUCUAAAUAUAAUUAAAAAUAAGCGUCCCGGAGGGACGGGUCAUACCUAGUGACUACAUCUUCAAGGAUAAACCAUAUACAAUCAAUUGGAUUUGUGCGAAGAUGAAGGGCCUCAUCUGGUAUUGGUUGGGUUUGAGGAAAGGAAGGAGCAGGUUCCAUUUUAGGGACCUGUUGGAGAAUUGGGAUGAUCAUAUGAGCGACACAGGGAGGUAGUUUGCUUCUGAUCGAGUCAUGUUUGUUUGUCAUAUUAGUCUGCACCUCUGGAUGACUACCUGAUGCUGCAUAAGCAGGCGGUUCAGGCUUGUAUUCUUUGUUUCAUUUUAAUAAAAUUUUACUUCUAUCAAAAAAAAAAAAAAACAAAACCCAAAAAGAAAGGAGUUUUGUAUGACAUGUUGUAAAACUUUAUUCCUAAUACAAGGGCAACAAUUUUUUUAAGACUCUCACUGGCCGUCUGGCCCUAUAACUACAAGCACAACAAAUAUGUAAAUUCAGAUAAAUUCCUCAAUUCACUUUUCUGUCUGUACAGACGCUUUAAAUGCUUAUUUCAUUACUGGGGGUUUCAAUAAAGAUGAUUUAAUCAUCAUAGUGCAAUGUAAAUAUUAUUAACUAACACCUAUAAGGUGAAUGAGGUUUUGGAGUACAUAAGAUCAAAGAAAACUUUAGAUAGACAAUCAUGCUGCAGUACAUGUUUAAAUCUGAAUUUUAAAAUCCAUUCCUUUGAUUUUUCGAAUUAUUAGUGCUUUAGGAAACUGGUUUAUUAUAUAUCAUGUACUAAUAGAGACAUAGGGGCUUUGUGACAGAUGAUUGAUUCUCGGCUAAAAAUUUACUGUGGGAUCAGUAAAAGAGAGUUUCUUUUCAUAGUUCUAUUGAGUACUGACUAUCAAGCCUGGGAAUUCUGGCAGUUACUUGACCAUCUCCAAUGGUCCUCUAUUCCUCUAAAAAAUAUUUACUAUUCAUAUAUUUUGAUCUCCAAUGGUCCUCCACCUCCAUAAGAUUCUCCUCUAUUCUCUACAAUUUCCUCUACUUGUAGAGGGAAUAGUGGUUUUUGGAGGAAGAGUAGAAGGAGAAUUUUUGGUGGGGUCCCAAUUAUUAUUUCUCUUGGUUAGUGUGAUAAAGUGUGUUAUAAUCAUUAAACAUGAUAAAAGACCACUCUACCCUUAUUCAUUUAAAUGUUUAAUUAAAUUUAAAAUUCAUAUAUAUUAAUUACAUAAUAUGUUUAUAUUAAUUGAGUAAUAUUUAACAUAAAUUUUAUUAAUUAAAUAAAUUUUAAAUGUUUAAUUAAAUUAUUUUAAAUGUUUUAAAUAAUUUAUUUAAAUAUUUAAUUAAAUUUAAAGUCCAUAUAUAUUAAUUACAUAAUAUAUUUUUAUUAAUUAAAUAAAUUUUAAAUGUUUAAUUAAAUUAUUUUAAAUGUUUAAAUUAUUUUUGUAAAUAUUUAAUUAAAUUUAAAGUUCAUAUAUAGUAAUUAUAUAAUAUGUUUAUGGAAGGUAAAAAUGGAAAGAAGAAUAAAGAUUAUGGAGGAUAAACCAUCUCCAACCGUUCCUCCAUAAUUUUCCUCUAUUUCAUUGAUUUUGAAAAAAAAAAAUAGAGGAAACGGUUGAAGACCAAAACCGAUUUUCCUCCAUUUUCACCUCCAAAAAACAAGAUUUGGAAGAAAAUUUAGAGGAACCAUUGGAGAUGGUCUUAUAGUCUUUCUUAUCUCUAUUUGCAUCCUGUGCAACUAUUUUAAAUGCCCAACAUAAAAUUACUACUGUAAACACAAUGUGAACUACGUACCUACAAAGAUUCGUGCUAUAUUCAAGAAGCGAAUAAAUUGAAUUGGUAGAUACAGAGAAGAAAUGGAAAACGAACAAUAGUAUAAUUCUGAUGAACCCUUACACAUGUUCUUGUGGAGAUACCAGGACAGUACAGUAUAAUUUACCCCAUCAUAAGUAAUUCCUGUUGUCCCUCCUCUACCAAGCAUAUGUGCUGCCUUAGCAUUUAUCCUAAACUAUUGCUUGGCAGGUUCAGGCUUUCCCAAGCUUAAAACGAUUGGUAAACUUACACAACAGUUACAUAUCAACGCGGACUUGGUAUCCUGUAUGCAAAAACAGUGAAACGUUUGAGCUAGUAAACAACUUCCAACAAACAACAUAACCUCUCUGGUUGAAUAGGAGCACAAAUUAACAUUUUUCUCAAUAUAAAGUUACACAUCGAUAAACAAAAAAUCAAACACCAUUUCAGUGAAACAAACAUGUCCAAGAUGGAGAGUGUCUUUUUUCUAGCUAAAAAUGAGAAACUUGCAUAGGCAAUGUCAACACCUGGUACGAUGUGGCACAUUUCGCAUGCAUGGGAGAUGGAAGCAGAAGCAGAGUACCUACGAGAAACCUGCCUAGUUCAUCUUAAAAAGAUUGUGACUUAUGGCGGCGAUAAAUCAUUUUGCCUGAACGAUAUAAUGGUGUUAUCCUUUCAUUCAGGAUACACAAACUAUAUCUCUGUUCACUUUGAUAGAGUAAAGGUCAAUACAUACAUACUUAGAACAUUAAUAUGCAUUCAAACAAUUUGUCAAACACUUGGAGAACGACCAAAGUAACCACAACUCACAUUUCAUAAAUUUGAACUGACCAUGCAAAACAUUACGUACUGUAUAUUGAAUAACCAAAACAUGGUAAAGUGAAAGAAUACUUACAAUUUGUCAUUCUACAAAUUGAGAGCUCAUCAAUUGAGCUGGGUUUUGCUAAAGAUUUAACAAUUUGUCAACUUCCUCCCCCCCCCCCCCCCCCAAUUUGCAGAAAACAUAAACCAUUGAUCAGAUUUUGCCAUUUUGGGUUGUUUUGAGGAUGAAGAAAUAGGGAACAUAUACAAACAAUGCAUAGCUUUGUUAAUCAUCUCUUAAUGUCCACAGAUGAACAGAUGAUUCACAGCUUUGUUAUUCUUAAUGAAUUUUAGAUAAUAUUGGUGAAACUCGCAAUCUAAAUGAUUAAAUAAACAAAUGGUUUUAGCAUUUAAGGUAGAUGAAACUACUAGCAUAAGAAACAAGAUCAAGUUUUCGAGGAAAUAACAUAAACCCUAAAAAGGUAGGUUGUCCAACUCAAUAGAGAACUCUUUCUCUCUUUCAUCUCCAUCUAUUGCUAACUUGAGCUUUGGAGUGACAUCCACCGAUCGAAGACCCGAAAGGAGCGGAAGAUUGAUAGCGACAAUCUCACAGUGUUAGCUUUAUAGGAGUUUACAUUUGGCGCUAGAAGGAGGGUUGUGACACUUCUCUAGAUCUACGGAACUUGGUGAACCAAUUCUGUUAAAAAUGUUAUCUGUAAUGUCCAAGUCCAGAAAAGCCCAGUCCAUAGAAGUGUCCAGAAGCAUAAAGAAUUAUCUAGCAUAUAAUAGUUAGUAGUUAAUAGAGAAAUCUAGAAUGUAUGAGAACAAUUAAAGUCGGUUAUAAUGUCCUAUAAAUAGGGAGGUGAACAUGUUGUUUGAUGAAUCAAUCAAGAGAAAAGAAGUUCUCUAGUACUAGAAGUCCCCUUUUGUAAUAAAAACAAAGUUUCUUUUAUAAACUUGUUAUUUUGUCAUAUUCUUCUUUUUGACUCUCAUAUACCCACUAACACUUCCAUUGUUUUAACAAAUUGGUAUCAGAGCUUGUUUUUUCUUUGGUCCCCCCAUACCACUUUCCAUCAUCUACACCUUAAACCACUAUAUUCCCAUUAUUUACACUUAAACCAUGGCCAUAAAUCAAACCCCACAUACAUUCAAUUAUACCCAAAAUCUAAUACCCAUAUUUGAUGGUGAUAGUUAUGAUUAUUGGAGUUUACAAAUGAAAACUCUAUUCAUGUCUCAAGAUUUAUGGGAAUUAAUUGAAGAUGGCUAUGAUGUACCGGAGUCGACGGCAGAAUUACAAACAUGGGAUCAAAGCAAGCAAAAGGAGUACAAGGAGAAGAAAAAGAGAGAUGCCAAAGCAUUAUUGUUCAUCCAACAAGGGGUAAGCAAAUCAAUUUUUCCAAGAAUUCUUGGCGCUUCAAAUUCUAAGGAUGCAUGGGAAAUUCUUAAGAAAGAAUUUCAAGGAACCCAAAAGAUAAUUUCUAUCAAACUCCAAUAUUUAUGGCGAGAAUUUGAUAAUUUUUUCAUGAAAGAUAAUGAGAAAGUUCAAGUAUUCUACAAUAGGGUCUCCAACGUUAUCAACCAAAUUAAAAGUUAUGGAGAAACUAUUGAAGAUAAGAAAGUUAUUGAGAAAAUUUUGCGAAGUUUACCCGCAAAAUUUGAUCAUAUUGUCGCCGCCAUAGAAGAAUCAAAAGAUUUGUCAAAAUUAUCAUUAUAUGAGCUAAUGGGUUCUCUUGAGGCGCAUGAAGAAAGGAUGAGCAGUAGGUCAGCUGAAAAAUCAUUGGAGCAGGCAUUUCAGUCCAAGGUGACUUUUGGGGACAAGAAAGAAAAUUCAAGAAGCUUCCAGAAUCCCAGAGAAUUUAGCCGAGGAGAAAGCUCAAACUGGGGACGUGAAGGAAAAUUCAGCAACAACAACCGAAGGUAUGACAAAAAUCCUUCUUCAAAACCUUAUUGCAAUGUUUGCAAAAAACCCGGUCAUAAAAGUGAAAACUGCAGAUAUAAAUGCACCACGUGUAAAAAGUUAAAUCACGUGGAUAAAGAUUGUUGGCUCAAGAAGAAAAAUCAAGCCAACUACAUGGAGAAAAAUGAAUCUCCAGACCAAGUAUUUUAUUCUUGCUAUAAUGCAAUGCAAGAACCUAAAGAUAUUUGGUAUUUAGACAGUGGCUGCAGUAAUCACAUGACCGGAGAUAAGAAAGGUUUUAUAAGUCUAGAUGAAGACGUAGAUUCUAAAGUUAAGCUAGGAGAUGGUAAACUUCAGAAAAUAGAAGGAAAAUGAAUAGUUACAGUAAAAACUGGAGAAGGAGCAUCUAAAAAUAUGCAUGAUGUUCUGUAUGUCCCCGGUCUUGCUCAAAACUUACUAAGUGUUGGGCAACUUAUCCAGAAAGGGUAUAUUGUGCAUUUUGAAGAUAAUGAAUGCACAAUUUACGAUAAAAGAAAGAAGCAGGUGGUUGCCAAAGUACAGAUGACAGAAAAUAAGGUUUUUCCAUUGGUGAUGUCAUCGGUACAAAAUUAUGCCAUGAAAAGAACUGCAGUUGAUGAAACUGAAUUAUGGCAUUUACGAUUUGGGCAUUUGAAUUAUAGAGCCUUAAGGGUUCUAAAGUCCAAAAAUAUGGUGAUUGGGCUACCUAGUAUUGGUGGAGAAGUUAGAGUUUGUGAAGGCUGCAUUUUUGGGAAAUUUCAUAGAUUUCCCUUUGCUAAGUCAUCAUGGAGAGCCAGGAAGUCUUUAGAAUUGGUUCACGCUGACAUAUGCGGACCAGUUCGAACACCGUCAUUAAACAACAAAAGAUAUUUUCUUUUGUUUGUUGAUGAUUACAGCAGGAUGAUGUGGGUGUACUUCCUAGAACAAAAAUCGGAAGCAUUCACCAUAUUCUUGAAGUUCAAGGCGCUCGUUGAAAAACAAAGUGGGCAUUCCUUAAAGGUGUUACGCACUGAUCGAGGAGCAGAAUUCACAUCUAAGGAGUUCAACAAAUAUUGUCAAGAUCAAGGAAUCAAGAAGGAGCUGACAGUCCGAUACACUCCUCAACAAAAUGGCGUGGCAGAGAGGAGGAACAGGACGAUCGUGGAGAUGGCUCGGAGCAUGCUGAAGGGAAAAGGCUUACCAAACAAACUAUGGGCUGAAGCUGUCAACACCGCGGUCUACAUUCUCAACCGUUCGCCAACUAAAGUAGUGCGAGACAGGACGCCGUAUGAAGCAUGGCAUCAUCAAAAGCCCACGGUAACUUCUCUCAAAGUCUUUGGAUGCAUCGCAUAUUCUCAUAUUCCAUCAAAACACAGAGAAAAGUUUGAUGAGAAGGGAGAAAAGCUCAUCUUCAUCGGGUAUAGCGAAGAAUCCAAAGCUUACAGGCUACGUAAUCCCAGGACCAAUGAGUUAGUAAUCUCCAGAGAUGUCAUCUUUGAUGAGCAUAAUGCAUGGAGUUGGGAUGAUGGAAACAACACUAAUGUCGAGGCGCCACUAAUACUUGAAGAAGAAGAAUCAACCCAAGAACAACCAGGUCCAGAACCUGAACCAGUUACUCCGCCAACAUGCCCAAGAAGUCCAUCUUCAUCAGGGUCAAGCUCUCCCCCAAGAAAGGUACGUCCUUUACAAGAUAUUUACAACUCAUGCGGUCCAGUUGCUUUUCUUGCUUGUGAACCACAAAAGUAUGAAGAAGCAGCAACUGAAGAAAAAUGGAGAAAAGCUAUGGAUGAAGAAAUGAAAGUCAUCCAUAAAAAUGAAACAUGGGAGCUGGUUGAAAAGCCCAAAGAGAAAGAAGUUAUUGGGCUGAAAUGGGUCUAUAAGACCAAGUAUAAUGAAGAUGGCUCUAUCCAGAAGCAUAAGGCUCGGCUUGUUGCAAAAGGUUAUUCCCAACAACAAGAGCAAGAAGGUCCUACUACUAUAUAUUGCGACAAUAUGUCUGCAAUAGCUAUGACCAGGAAUCCAGUGUUCCAUAGCAGGUUAAAGCACAUUGAGUUGCGUCACCACUUCAUCAGAGACUUGGUUGAAAGUGAAGAGAUCGAGCUACAAUUCUGCAGGACUGAAGAUCAAUGUGCCGACAUAUUUACCAAGCCACUUGGAGGUGAAAAUUUUCAUCACUUUAGGAGGAGCAUGAACAUUACAGAUUAAGUGGGGGUGUUAAAAAUGUAAUCUGUAAUGUCCAAGUCCAGAAAAGCCCAGUCCAUAGAAGUGUCCAGAAGCAUAAAGAAUUAUCUAGUCCAUAGAAGUGUCUAGAAGCAUAAAGAAUUAUCUAGUCCAUAGAAGUGUCCAGAAGUAUAAAGAAUUAUCUAGCAUAUAAUAGUUAGUAGUUAAUAGAGAAAUCUAGAAUGUAUGAGAACAAUUAAAGUCGGUUAUAAUGUCCUAUAAAUAGGGAGGUGAACAUGUUGUUUGAUGAAUCAAUCAAGAGAAAAGAAGUUCUCUAGUACUAGAAGUCCCCUUUUGUAAUAAAAACAAAGUUUCUUUUAUAAACUUGUUAUUUUGUCAUAUUCUUCUUCUUGACUCUUAUAUACCCACUAACACUUCCAUUGUUUUAACAAAUUCUGCUAUUAAUUCAGUUUAAAAAUGGAAAAAAUAAAAAAACAAGCAGAGAAACAAAGUCCUCUUCACCAUCGUCACGCCAACCAGAAUACUUUCUUCUCCAAGGCUAGAUCUGCAACAUCAUUUCAUCUCUUGGUAUAAUCUUCGAAUUCAAGGCUUUGGUUGGUUUAUGAACUACAAUCUCCGAAUCGUUAACCUCGCCAUUCUUUAUUCUCAAGAAGAACAACAAAGUUACCAACUUUCAUUAUUUUGUCAAGUUGAUCAAGGGACAACAGAUGCAACUAGUUAAACCACACUUGGACAAUUCAUCUCCAUUGGUUUUCUCAUAAUAUUCAUGCUCACCAACAAAAUAAACCAUAGAUUCCCAAAUGGCAAAAAUCCCACAAUCCAAAUUCUAAUUUCUCAAAUCAUAUCCAAUAAAUGUCCUGAAUCUAUUAAGAUAUUUUGGAUGCAUAAAAAACUCAAAAAUUACUUCUCCCAUGUUUAGUCGCAACAAAAUAUCACAAGACAAUGUAACAUUACAUGAAUAUUUGUAAUAAUCUUUAUACUAACAUUUCGACAAACACUUGGACUGCAGAAAAUCUCACAUUUUCAUAACUUUCAAUCACACAAAAAUCACUAAAUGAACUAUAAAAAUAAUGGUUUAAAGCAUAAGAAACAUCAUAACAAGUGUAACAAGGUGCAAUUUCAUCACCAAUAUGGAGAGAGGAAGGAGAGUACUAUCUGUACAACCCAGAUCUUUACAUAAAAUUUAAUAAUUUCUGAUUCCACCCAAUCCCAUCAUUUCCACUCCGUUAUAUCUAUGUAAACCACGCUUGAGUUUUAAGAUAUUCCCCACAAUGAUGCUGCACAUUUGACAGAUACACCUUAACUUCAUCUCUCGCAAAAUCGCACGCUGCAGGCUGCAGGAGUAAUGGGAUCUGCAACUGCCCUCAACACCGUUGUUUAUAUUUAGAUAAGAUGUUAGUAUGUUACCGAAGAGAAUAAAAAGUUAUGAAAUUUUCCGAUACCACCCAAUCCCAAACAUUACCUUCAGUGGCGGCCCUGAGGGCAUGCCUAAGAAGCUCUUGAUUGGGGCCAACCAAUAAAUAAAAGAAAAA